UACGGGGGGCAAGCGUUGUUCGGAAUUACUGGGCGUAAAGGGCUCGUAGGCGGCCAACUAAGUCAUACGUGAAAUCCCUCGGCUUAACCGGGGAACUGCGUCUGAUACUGGAUGGCUUGAGUUCGGGAGAGGGAUGCGGAAUUCCAGGUGUAGCGGUGAAAUGCGUAGAUAUCUGGAGGAACACCGGUGGCGAAGGCGGCAUCCUGGACCGAUACUGACGCUGAGGAGCGAAGCCAGGGAGCAAACGGG
rnacentral:rRNA from 1 species